AGUGAACGCUGUCGUUAGGUCUAACCCAUGCAAUUCUAACUGCAUCACAUUAAGAUCUUGCUCUUACUGGUGACGAGUGGCGGACGGUUUAAGCUUACAUCAGAAUCUACUUUUUCUUGGGAGAUCACGUAGGGGAACUUACGUUACUACCGCAUACGACCUACGUUUGAAAUCAGGCUCUCUUCGUACCUUUCGCGACUUGAUGCGCCGAUGUCGGAUUAGCUAGUUGGCGGGGUAAAGGCACACCAAGGCGACGAUCCGUAGCUGUUCUGAGAGGAUGAUCAGCAACACUGGAACUGAGAAACGGUCCAGACUCCUACGGGAGGCAGCAGUGGGGAAUAUUGGACAAUGGGCGCAAGCCUGAUCCAGCCAUACCGCGUGGGUGAAGAAGGCCUUCGGGUUGUAAAGCCCUUUUGUUGGGAAAGAAAAGCAGCAGGUUAAUACCCCGCUGUUCUGACGGUACCCAAAGAAUAAGCACAGGCUAACUUCGUG
rnacentral:rRNA from 1 species